UACGUAGGGUGCGAGCGUUGUCCGGAAUUAUUGGGCGUAAAGAGCUCGUAGGCGGUCUGUCGCGUCGGCUGUGAAAACUCGGGGCUCAACCCCGAGCCUGCAGUCGAUACGGGCAGACUAGAGUGCUGUAGGGGAGACUGGAAUUCCUGGUGUAGCGGUGAAAUGCGCAGAUAUCAGGAGGAACACCGGUGGCGAAGGCGGGUCUCUGGGCCGAUACUGACGCUGAGGAGCGAAAGCGUGGGGAGCGAACAGG
rnacentral:rRNA from 1 species